GGAUUAGAUACCCGGGUAGUCCACGCCGUAAACGAUGAGUGCUAGGUGUCGGAGGGGUCCACCCUGCGGUGCCGAAGUUAACACAUUAAGCACUCCGCCUGGGGAGUACGGUCGCAAGACUGAAACUCAAAGGAAUUGACGGGGACCCGCACAAGCAGUGGAGUAUGUGGUUUAAUUCGAAGCAACGCGAAGAACCUUACCAGGUCUUGACAUCCCUCUGAUCGGUGCAGAGAUGUACCUUUCCUUCGGGACAGAGGAGACAGGUGGUGCAUGGUUGUCGUCAGCUCGUGUCGUGAGAUGUUGGGUUAAGUCCCG
rnacentral:rRNA from 1 species